UACGCAGGGGGCUAGCGUUGCUCGGAAUCACUGGGCGUAAAGGGUGCGUAGGCGGGUCUUUAAGUCAGGGGGGAAAUCCUGGAGCUCAACUCCAGAACUGCCUUUGAUACUGAAGAUCUUGAGUUCGGGAGAGGUGAGUGGAACUGCGAGUGUAGAGGUGAAAUUCGUAGAUAUUCGCAAGAACACCAGUGGCGAAGGCGGCUCACUGGCCCGAUACUGACGCUGAGGCACGAAAGCGUGGGGAGCAAACAGG
rnacentral:rRNA from 1 species